GGUUUAAACGAAUUCGCCCUUGAGCGCGCCCUAUUAAUCCUCCUGCAAGGCUAAUCCAGGCGCAAAUCUCUCUCACGCAAAAGUCGGUGUCUCUUGCAUACGAGACCGCCGGUCCCGCCGUUUUCCCCCUCCCCACGGGAGGGGAUUGAGGGGAGGGCGAACUAAACUCUCACACAGGCCCUAUGGAUCGUUUCCAAAACAGCGUCUGUUUGCCGCAGCACCUCGUGAUUCCAAAAACGCAGCACCCGAUACCCGUGCUUCCUCAACCACGCACUGCGCUCCUCGUCCGCCUGCGGCUGCAAGGCAUGCUGUCCACCGUCCACCUCGAUUACCAGCAUCUGAUCAAAGCUCACAAAAUCCACGAUAUAGGGACCCAGUGGGCAUUGGCGGCGAAACUUGCAGCCUGCGACCUGCCUGCGACGUAGCCGUCGCCACAACACGGUCUCGGCAUCGGUCGGACGAUUGCGCAAAUCGUGUGCAUAAGAACUCUCGGACAUCGGUUUUUUCGAUCGCCCUCCCCUCAAUCCCCUCCCGUUGGGAGGGGAAGUCCAUGAGGAUUCGUGUCAUGCAAGGGUGUUGAUCGCGGCGUUGCCGAAUUUCGGCGAAGACUCUUCUAGACCGCACUCUUACGCGUCGUAGUAGAGUGCGAACUCGUAGGGGUGCGGACGCAGCCGGAUCGGGUCGCAUUCCUUAGUGCGCUUGUAGUCGAGCCAGGUCUCGAUGACAUCGCGGGUAAAGACAUUGCCUUUGAGCAAAAAGUCGUGGUCUUUCUCCAGGGCAUCGAGCGCGGCUUCGAGCGAAGCGGGGCAGCUCGGGACCUUGGCGAUCUCUUCGGGGGGCAAGUCGUAGAGAUUCUUGUCGAGCGGAUC
rnacentral:rRNA from 1 species